UAUGUCUACGGGACGCAGCAGUCGAGAAUCAUUCACAAUGGGGGAAACCCUGAUGGUGCGACGCCGCGUGGGGGAAUGAAGGUCUUCGGAUUGUAAACCCCUGUCAUGUGGGAGCAAAUUAAAAAGAUAGUACCACAAGAGGAAGAGACGGCUAACUCUGUGCCAGUAGCCGCGGUAAUACAGAGGUCUCAAGCGUUGUUCGGAAUCACUGGGCGUAAAGCGUGCGUAGGCUGUUUCGUAAGUCGUGUGUGAAAGGCGCGGGCUCAACCCGCGGUCGGCACAUGAUACUGCGAGACUAGAGUAAG
rnacentral:rRNA from 1 species